rnacentral:rRNA from 1 species
UACGUAGGGGGCAAGCGUUGCUCGGAAUCACUGGGCGUAAAGCGCGCGUAGGCGGACCUGCAAGUCGGGGGUGAAAGCCCGAGGCUCAACCUCGGAACUGCCUUCGAUACUGCGGGUCUCGAGUCCGGGAGAGGUGAGUGGAAUUCCUAGUGUAGAGGUGAAAUUCGUAGAUAUUAGGAAGAACACCAGUGGCGAAGGCGGCUCACUGGCCCGGUACUGACGCUGAGGCGCGAAAGCGUGGGGAGCAAACGGGG